GCUUCCGUGGCGCAAUUGGUUAGCGCGUUCGGCUGUUAGAUAUCUAGCUACCGAGAGGUUGCCAGUUCGACCCUGGCCGGGAGCG
rnacentral:tRNA from 1 species